rnacentral:rRNA from 1 species
AUUGAACGCUGGCGGCAGGCCUAACACAUGCAAGUCGAACGAGUGGCGGACGGGUGAGUAAUGUAUGGGAAACUGCACGAUGGAGGGGGAUAACUACUGGACACGGUAGCUAAUACCGCAUACCAUCGGAUGUGCCCAGAUGGGAUUAGGUAGUUGGUGAGGUAAAGGCUCACCAAGCCGACGAGCUCUACCUGGUCUGAGAGGAUGACCAGCCACACGGGAACUGAUACACGGCCCAGACUCCGACGUGAGGCAGCAGUGGGGAAUAUUGCGCAAUGGGGGCAACCCUGACGCAGCCAUGCCGCGGGAAUGAAGAAGGCCUUAGGGUUGUAAAGUUCUUUCGGUAGCGAGGCGUUAACUACAGAAGAAGCACCGGCUAACUCCGUGCCAGCAGCCGCGGUAAUUC